rnacentral:rRNA from 1 species
GACGAACGCUGGCGGCGUGCUUAACACAUGCAAGUCGAACGGAAAGGCCUCUUUCGGGGGGUACUCGAGUGGCGAACGGGUGAGUAACACGUGAGUAACCUGCCCUUGACUUUGGGAUAACUUCAGGAAACUGGGGCUAAUACCGGAUAGGAGCUCCUUCUGCAUGGUGGGGGUUGGAGAGUUUCGGCGGUUGGGGAUGGACUCGCGGCUUAUCAGCUUGUUGGUGGGGUAGUGGCUUACCAAGGCUUUGACGGGUAGCCGGCCUGAGAGGGUGACCGGCCACAUUGGGACUGAGAUACGGCCCAGACUCCUACGGGAGGCAGCAGUGGGGAAUAUUGCACAAUGGGUGGAAGCCUGAUGCAGCAACGCCGGGUGCGGGAUGACGGCCUUCGGGUUGUAAACCGCUUUCGCUCAUGACGAAGCUUUGUGUGACGGUAGUGGGUAAAGAAGCACCGGCUAACUACGUG